UCGGGGUACUCGAGUGGCGAACGGGUGAGUAACACGUGGGUGAUCUGCCCUGCACUUUGGGAUAAGCCUGGGAAACUGGGUCUAAUACCGAAUAGGACCACGCGCUUCAUGGUGUUUGGUGGAAAGCUUUUGCGGUGUGGGAUGGGCCCGCGGCCUAUCAGCUUGUUGGUGGGGUAAUGGCCUACCAAGGCGACGACGGGUAGCCGGCCUGAGAGGGUGACCGGCCACACUGGGACUGAGAUACGGCCCAGACUCCUACGGGAGGCAGCAGUGGGGAAUAUUGCACAAUGGGCGCAAGCCUGAUGCAGCGACGCCGCGUGAGGGAUGACGGCCUUCGGGUUGUAAACCUCUUUCAAUAGGGACGAAGCGCAGUGACGGUACCUAUAGAAGAAGCACCGGCCAACUACGUGCCAGCAGCCGCGGUAAUACGUAGGGUGCGAGCGUUGUCCGGAAUUACUGGGCGUAAAGAGCUCGUAGGUGGUUUGUCGCGUUGUUCGUGAAAACUCACAGCUUAACUGUGGGCGUGCGGGCGAUACGGGCAGACUAGAGUACUGCAGGGGAGACUGGAAUUCCUGGUGUAGCGGUGGAAUGCGCAGAUAUCAGGAGGAACACCGGUGGCGAAGGCGGGUCUCUGGGCAGUAACUGACGCUGAGGAGCGAAAGCGUGGGGAGCGAACAGGAUUAGAUACCCUGGUAGUCCACGCCGUAAACGGUGGGUACUAGGUGUGGGUUCCUUCCUUGGGAUCCGUGCCGUAGCUAACGCAUUAAGUACCCCGCCUGGGGAGUACGGCCGCAAGGCUAAAACUCAAAGGAAUUGACGGGGGCCCGCACAAGCGGCGGAGCAUGUGGAUUAAUUCGAUGCAACGCGAAGAACCUUACCUGGGUUUGACAUGCACAGGACGCCGGCAGAGAUGUCGGUUCCCUUGUGGCCUGUGUGCAGGUGGUGCAUGGCUGUCGUCAGCUCGUGUCGUGAGAUGUUGGGUUAAGUCCCGCAACGAGCGCAACCCUUGUCCUAUGUUGCCAGCGGGUUAUGCCGGGGACUCGUAGGAGACUGCCGGGGUCAACUCGGAGGAAGGUGGGGAUGACGUCAAGUCAUCAUGCCCCUUAUGUCCAGGGCUUCACACAUGCUACAAUGGCCGGUACAAAGGGCUGCGAUGCCGUGAGGUGGAGCGAAUCCUUUCAAAGCCGGUCUCAGUUCGGAUCGGGGUCUGCAACUCGACCCCGUGAAGUCGGAGUCGCUAGUAAUCCCAGAUCAGCAACGCUGCGGUGAAUACGUUCCCGGGCCUUGUACACACCGCCCGUCACGUCAUGAAAGUCGGUAACACCCGAAGCC
rnacentral:rRNA from 1 species